GCUGGCGGCAGGCCUAACACAUGCAAGUCGAGCGGUAGCACAGAGAGCUUGCUCUCGGGUGACGAGCGGCGGACGGGUGAGUAAUGUCUGGGAAACUGCCUGAUGGAGGGGGAUAACUACUGGAAACGGUAGCUAAUACCGCAUAAUGUCGCAAGACCAAAGUGGGGGACCUUCGGGCCUCAUGCCAUCAGAUGUGCCCAGAUGGGAUUAGCUAGUAGGUGGGGUAACGGCUCACCUAGGCGACGAUCCCUAGCUGGUCUGAGAGGAUGACCAGCCACACUGGAACUGAGACACGGUCCAGACUCCUACGGGAGGCAGCAGUGGGGAAUAUUGCACAAUGGGCGCAAGCCUGAUGCAGCCAUGCCGCGUGUGUGAAGAAGGCCUUCGGGUUGUAAAGCACUUUCAGCGGGGAGGAAGGCGUUAAGGUUAAUAACCUUGGCGAUUGACGUUACCCGCAGAAGAAGCACCGGCUAACUCCGUGCCAGCAGCCGCGGUAAUACGGAGGGUGCAAGCGUUAAUCGGAAUUACUGGGCGUAAAGCGCACGCAGGCGGUCUGUCAAGUCGGAUGUGAAAUCCCCGGGCUCAACCUGGGAACUGCAUUCGAAACUGGCAGGCUAGAGUCUUGUAGAGGGGGGUAGAAUUCCAGGUGUAGCGGUGAAAUGCGUAGAGAUCUGGAGGAAUACCGGUGGCGAAGGCGGCCCCCUGGACAAAGACUGACGCUCAGGUGCGAAAGCGUGGGGAGCAAACAGGAUUAGAUACCCUGGUAGUCCACGCCGUAAACGAUGUCGAUUUGGAGGUUGUGCCCUUGAGGCGUGGCUUCCGGAGCUAACGCGUUAAAUCGACCGCCUGGGGAGUACGGCCGCAAGGUUAAAACUCAAAUGAAUUGACGGGGGCCCGCACAAGCGGUGGAGCAUGUGGUUUAAUUCGAUGCAACGCGAAGAACCUUACCUGGUCUUGACAUCCACAGAACUUAGCAGAGAUGCUUUGGUGCCUUCGGGAACUGUGAGACAGGUGCUGCAUGGCUGUCGUCAGCUCGUGUUGUGAAAUGUUGGGUUAAGUCCCGCAACGAGCGCAACCCUUAUCCUUUGUUGCCAGCGGUUAGGCCGGGAACUCAAAGGAGACUGCCAGUGAUAAACUGGAGGAAGGUGGGGAUGACGUCAAGUCAUCAUGGCCCUUACGACCAGGGCUACACACGUGCUACAAUGGCAUAUACAAAGAGAAGCGACCUCGCGAGAGCAAGCGGACCUCAUAAAGUAUGUCGUAGUCCGGAUUGGAGUCUGCAACUCGACUCCAUGAAGUCGGAAUCGCUAGUAAUCGUAGAUCAGAAUGCUACGGUGAAUACGUUCCCGGGCCUUGUACACACCGCCCGUCACACCAUGGGAGUGGGUUGCAAAAGAAGUAGGUAGCUUAACCUUCGGGAGGGCGCUUACCACUUUGUGAUUCAUGACUGG
rnacentral:rRNA from 1 species